AAAUUGAAGAGUUUGAUCAUGGCUCAGAUUGAACGCUGGCGGCAGGCCUAACACAUGCAAGUCGAGCGGUAGCACAGAGAGCUUGCUCUCGGGUGACGAGCGGCGGACGGGUGAGUAAUGUCUGGGAAACUGCCUGAUGGAGGGG
rnacentral:rRNA from 1 species